AACUGGUCGGGAGCUAUUGCCGUUCUCCUGAUGAGCCUAUGGUAGGGCGAAACCAGUU
rnacentral:hammerhead_ribozyme from 1 species